GACCAGCUAGCUCAGUUGGUAGAGCAAGAGACUCUUAAUCUCAGGCUUGUGUGUUCAAGCCCCAUGUUGGGCA
rnacentral:tRNA from 1 species